GCCUGGCUGGCUCAGUUGGUUGAGCAUGUGACUUUGGCUCAGGUCAUGAUCUCCCGGUUCGUGGGUUCGAGCCCCACGUUGGGCU
rnacentral:tRNA from 1 species